AGAGUUUGAUCCUGGCUCAGAACGAACGCUGGCGGCGUGGCUAACACAUGCAAGUCGAACGCGAACGGCUCUUCGGAGCUUAUUAGAGUGGCGAAAGGGCGAGGAAUACUUGGGUAACGUACCCUACACACCGGGAUAACUGUGGGAAACUACAGAUAAUACUGGAUGAGACCACGACUCGUAAGAGUUGUGCUCAAAGGGCGGGGAUCUCUUCGGAGACCCGUUGGUGUGGGAGCGGCCCAAGUCCUAUCAGGUUGUUGGUGAGGUAAUGGCUCACCAAGCCUACGACGGGUACCGGGACUGAGAGGUUGAUCCGGCGCAUUGGGACUGAGACACUGCCCAGACUCCUACGGGAGGCUGCAGUAACGAAUAUUGGACAAUGAGCGAAAGCUUGAUCCAGCGACGCCGCGUGUAGGAUGAAGUCCCUCGGGAUGUAAACUACUGUCAGGGACUACCAAGCAAGGACUGUUAAUACCGGUCUGCGUUGAGGAAUCCCAGAGGAAGCCACGGCUAACUUCGUGCCAGCAGCCGCGGUAAGACGAAGGUGGCGAGCGUUGUUCGGAAUUACUGGGCUUAAAGCGCAUGUAGGCGGAUCAUCAGGUGUCUUGUGAAAGCCCUCGGCUCAACCGAGGAACUGCUGGGCAAACCGAUGAUCUUGAGGCAGGUAGGGGCAACGGGAACUCUUGGUGGAGCGGUGGAAUGCGUAGAUAUCAAGAGGAACGCCUGAGGCGAAGGCGCGUUGCUGGGCCUGUCCUGACGCUGAGAUGCGAAAGCGUGGGUAGCGAACGGGAUUAGAUACCCCGGUAGUCCACGCCCUAAACGAUGUCAACUAGAUCGAGGGUUCUCUGACGGAUUCUUGGUCGAAAUGAAAACGGUAAGUUGACCGCCUGGGGAGUACGGUCGCAAGGCUAAAACUCAAAGGAAUUGACGGGGGCUCACACAAGCGGUGGAGCAUGUUGCUUAAUUCGAUCAACGCGAAGAACCUUAUCCUGGGCUUGACAUAUUUGGAUGACCAUCUGGAAACAGAGUAGUCUGCUCUUCGGAGUGAAACUUAUACAGGUGCUGCAUGGCUGUCGUCAGCUCGUGUCGUGAGAUGUUGGGUUAAGUCCCGUAACGAGCGAAACCCUUGUCGUUAGUUGCCAGCGCGUUAUGGCGGGUACUCUAGCGAGACUGCCGGUGUUAAACCGGAGGAAGGUGGGGAUGACGUCAAGUCCUCAUGGCCUUUAUGCCCAGGGCUGCAAACGUGCUACAAUGGCGUGUACAAACCGACGCAAGACCGCGAGGUGGAGCAAAUCGGAAAAAACACGCCCCAGUUCGGAUUGGAGUCUGCAACUCGACUCCAUGAAGUCGGAAUCGCUAGUAAUCGCGUAUCAGCGUGACGCGGUGAAUGAGUUCCUGAGCCUUGUACACACCGCCCGUCAAGUCAUGGAAGCUGGUAGCACCCGAAGUCGCCCUAUUUCAGGGGUGCCGAAGGUGAGAUCGGUAACUGGGACUAAGUCGUAACAAGGUA
rnacentral:rRNA from 1 species